UACAGAGGGGGCGAGCGUUGUUCGGAAUUACUGGGCGUAAAGGGCGCGUAGGCGGCCAACUAAGUCAGACGUGAAAUCCCUCGGCUCAACCGGGGAACUGCGUCUGAUACUGGAUGGCUUGAAUUCGGGAGAGGGAUGCGGAAUUCCAGGUGUAGCGGUGAAAUGCGUAGAUAUCUGGAGGAACACCGGUGGCGAAGGCGGCAUCCUGGACCGAGAUUGACGCUGAGGCGCGAAAGCCAGGGGAGCAAACAGG
rnacentral:rRNA from 1 species